GAUAGCAGCAUUAUGCAGUUGACCACUUCCUCUCCUGUCGCCUCUCCUCUUGGCACCGGGACAGACGGCGAUGUUGGCCACAAUCUGCCCACCUGCACAGGGACCAUUAAAGCCUUAAUAGCAGCAUAUGGUGUCCAAGACGUCUGCUUCACGCUGUUACCACGAACAAAAGGUAACCAUCUAGCUUCAGUAUCACCUGGAUCUGAGGACAUUAGAGUCAGAGGAGAAGAUAAAUCACCUCUCAAAUCCAACACCAUAGGAACAGCCUUACCUGGAUAAGCUCCACUACCUGUGUUUCUCAGCAGAUUUCAUCACCGCUGGAGGCACGUUCGCUUGAUUCAUGAAGCAGAUAAAAGAGGUGCAUGUGGAUUACGGCCCGACUCCUGACACAUGAACGCAACGCACAUUUGUGUCUCCAGACGGCUCCUCCUCUCAUCUUCAUCCCCGCCAGAAAAUGACCCAGAUUCUCCGGGCUGCUGGAUGUGUUUACAUACACAGCUCACUGAUGACAUUGUCAGUCAGAAAGCAUCGCUCUCAGCAGCUCUGACUGUAACUAAAGCUCCAAUCCACCUCCCAUCAUGAUGAAAUACUCUGCAGAGCUGCACAUCCCCGCUGUGCUCUGACUGCAUGCUUGAUGGUGUUAAUGGCUAUUGAUCCUCCUGGGCUGGCAGACAGCCAACAUAUCCUGAUGUUACUCCUGCUACAUAUUUUUAUUUUCGCGCUGAAUCACAAGCUGCCCUCUGUUAUUAAACUCCACAAAGGUUUCUGGUGUCAGAAAAGGUUUAUAUCUCUCUCCUCUCCCUCGUCAUGAAUAUUCAGAAAAGGUCAAGUCCUUGCUCUCCUCUCGCUCUCCCUCUCCCCCGUGACUGUGUCCUGGAUAAUCUGUCCCUGAUUCAUCUCUUGUUUCUGUGCUUGUUUCUGCCCCAGCUGUACUGUGAUUUUUUAUUACUGAGGUGGGAGGGGUAAUUUGGAUUUGUUGUGUUCAACAUCUGGCCAUGUCAUUAAGCCCAAAUUUUGAUUUAUGCGUCAAUAGUAUCUUAUAUCUCAGCGGGUAUCCCCAUGCUGUUCUGCAUUUAAGCUACGAACGUUUUACUGAACAGGAAACUCGCUAAUAUUCCUUCAGUUGCAACACCUGGCCUAAAUACAUGACAGGAUGUCAAUUAAUCAUUUUUAUUUAUAUAACACCAAAUUACAACAAAAAUGAUCUCAUAAUCUUUUAUUUCAUUGCUCUAUUGUAUUUGUUUUGCUUGUCUACCCCUUAUUAAUGUUGGUAUGAAUGUGAGGUGUGUGUGUGUGAAGUGAUCAGUGUUCUGGGGUGGGUGGGAUCUCAAGGGUGUUUCUGUUAAUGUGUUUUAUAACAUCAUCCACAGAACUCUGUUCCAACUGUUACGUGUCACAAAACCUACUUUGUAUUUGUCUGUGCAUAAAAAACCAAUAAAGAAACUUUGGAAUAAUC